rnacentral:rRNA from 1 species
AUUGAACGCUGGCGGCAGGCCUAACACAUGCAAGUCGAACGAGUGGCGGACGGGUGAGUAAUGUCUGGGAAACUGCCCGAUGGAGGGGGAUAACUACUGGAAACGGUAGCUAAUACCGCAUACCAUCGGAUGUGCCCAGAUGGGAUUAGCUAGUAGGUGGGGUAAUGGCUCACCUAGGCGACGAUCCCUAGCUGGUCUGAGAGGAUGACCGGCCACACGGUAACGGAGACACGGUCCAGACACCUACGGGAGGCAGCAGUGGGGAAUAUUGCACAAUGGGCGCAAGCCUGAUGCAGCGACGCCGCGUGGGGGAUGAAGUCCUUCGGGUUGUAAACUCCUUUCGCUAGGGAAGCGGUACCUGGAUAAGAAGCACCGGCUAACUACGUGCCAGCAGCCGCGGUAAUAC